GCCAACUUUGUGGAUGGGGUGAGGGCGAUCGUCAAGAACAUUGGACAGAACAAGCUCUGGGAAAACUACAGCCUAAAAGGGAUGAACGGCAAACUGCCAUUGAAAGACCUCUCCAUAUGCAGGGUCAUAGUCAAAGCAUGCCAGAUGACAUUCAAGUCUGUCAAAACCCAAGAGGUCCAUGACGAGCUAACGGAGGUGCUGAAGUAUGCCCCCCACAGGCGCGGAGGAUCCAAGCACAAGGCUGGCAAAAGGAAGCGAGACGAGAAUGAUCAUGCGUGAAAUUUCGAAUGGCACUCGCCUAGCUAGAUCAAGUUUAAUUAUAGACUAAUACACCAAAUUAUAGCUUUAUCUGUUUACGCUGUAUCAACA